GUUUUAGUUUAAAAGUAUUGUUUCAGUUUAAAAGUUUUAAAAGUUUGUUUAAAAUGCGGGCAUGUGGCAGGCGCCUCCCGCGAGGUCCGCAAGAAAACACGGCCCGGCUAGCCUAGCCGCCGAGCCUUCCUGCCAAAUGCCCUUAACAUACGGUUCACAGGGUUUGUAGAAAUGGAUUAUUCAAUGAUGAUCCUUCCGCAGGUUCACCUACGGAAA
rnacentral:misc_RNA from 1 species